AUUCCCAUGGUUCAAACAAAUUUGAAACGGCCUUUCACAUAGCUCAAUUAUUUUAGGCUUAGGUUCAUAAUCACCCUUUAAUUAAUUAACACUUUAACUAAUUAAAUUGAAUGCAACAUUUUCAUUUGGUUUUGUAUCCAUAAAAUUGAUUUAAAUGGAGCUAAACAAAAUGAAAAUCCAAUUCUCAUUUAAAGAGACAAAACAAUUUUGUUCUCAACCUAAUUUGGGCCAUCAUGCAAUAACCACAACUUUUGGGCUAUCUUGCAAUUAACCUCAACUUUUGGGCUAUAUUGCAAAACUUUUGGGGUCACUUUGUAAAGACACAAAAGUCCACUACUUCAUGUAAUUACAAUAGAACCCAAAAUUUAAUCAAUGCAAAAACUUCAUUAAAGGAUCAAAACAAUUUGUCCUUUAGCGUUUUUGGACCUUAACGUAAAAACGUAAACUUUUGGGCCAAAGUGCAAAUACACAAAAGUAUCAAAACUUUAUGUAAUUGCAUAAAAGGCCUCAAAAGUACUCCCACUUGAGGGAGGGCCGGUUUUAGAGAGGGGAAGGGAGUGGAGAUAAGUCCACAAAAUUUUAGAAAUUUUUUUCAACAAUUUCAUAAAGCCUUGCAAGUGGAAUUUGUGACAUAAAUUCAUGCAAGUGGAAUGUGACUUAAAGUCAUGCAAGUGAUGUGUGUGUAAGAGAAGUACUUCUUACACACCUAUCACCAUUUCCAUCACCUUACACAAUUUCUAUCACAUUAAAACAUUUGAUAAAACACAAAACAAAGACUUUAUGAAAUAAAUCAAAACUU
rnacentral:lncRNA from 1 species